UACGGAGGGUGCAAGCGUUAUCCGGAUUCACUGGGUUUAAAGGGUGCGUAGGUGGGCAGUUAAGUCAGUGGUGAAAUCUCCGGGCUCAACCCGGAAACUGCCAUUGAUACUAUCUGUCUUGAAUAUCGUGGAGGUAAGCGGAAUAUGUCAUGUAGCGGUGAAAUGCUUAGAUAUGACGUAGAACACCAAUUGCGAAGGCAGCUUACUACCCGAAUAUUGACACUGAGGCACGAAAGCGUGGGGAUCAAACAGG
rnacentral:rRNA from 1 species